GUCGAACGGCAGCACGGGGGCAACCCUGGUGGCGAGUGGCGAACGGGUGAGUAAUACAUCGGAACGUGUCCUGUAGUGGGGGAUAGCCCGGCGAAAGCCGGAUUAAUACCGCAUACGCUCUACGGAGGAAAGGGGGGGAUCUUAGGACCUCCCGCUACAGGGGCGGCCGAUGGCAGAUUAGCUAGUUGGUGGGGUAAAGGCCUACCAAGGCGACGAUCUGUAGCUGGUCUGAGAGGACGACCAGCCACACUGGGACUGAGACACGGCCCAGACUCCUACGGGAGGCAGCAGUGGGGAAUUUUGGACAAUGGGGGCAACCCUGAUCCAGCAAUGCCGCGUGUGUGAAGAAGGCCUUCGGGUUGUAAAGCACUUUUGUCCGGAAAGAAAACGCCGUGGUUAAUACCCGUGGCGGAUGACGGUACCGGAAGAAUAAGCACCGGCUAACUACGUGCCAGCAGCCGCGGUAAUACGUAGGGUGCAAGCGUUAAUCGGAAUUACUGGGCGUAAAGCGUGCGCAGGCGGUCCGCUAAGACAGAUGUGAAAUCCCCGGGCUUAACCUGGGAACUGCAUUUGUGACUGGCGGGCUAGAGUAUGGCAGAGGGGGGUAGAAUUCCACGUGUAGCAGUGAAAUGCGUAGAGAUGUGGAGGAAUACCGAUGGCGAAGGCAGCCCCUGGGCCAAUACUGACGCUCAUGCAC
rnacentral:rRNA from 1 species